rnacentral:SRP_RNA from 1 species
GAACUGGGUCCCACGCAACGAAAACUCAUGAACCCCGUCAGGUCCGGAAGGAAGCAGCGGUAAGUGAUCAUUUUCGUGUGCCGUGGAUAAACCUGGUUUGAGU